rnacentral:rRNA from 1 species
AGAUUGAACGCUGGCGGCAGGCCUAACACAUGCAAGUCGAACGGUAACAGGAAACAGCUUGCUGUUUCGCUGACGAGUGGCGGACGGGUGAGUAAUGUCUGGGAAACUGCCUGAUGGAGGGGGAUAACUACUGGAAACGGUAGCUAAUACCGCAUAACGUCGCAAGACCAAAGAGGGGGACCUUCGGGCCUCUUGCCAUCGGAUGUGCCCAGAUGGGAUUAGCUAGUAGGUGGGGUAACGGCUCACCUAGGCGACGAUCCCUAGCUGGUCUGAGAGGAUGACCAGCCACACUGGAACUGAGACACGGUCCAGACUCCUACGGGAGGCAGCAGUGGGGAAUAUUGCACAAUGGGCGCAAGCCUGAUGCAGCCAUGCCGCGUGUAUGAAGAAGGCCUUCGGGUUGUAAAGUACUUUCAGCGGGGAGGAAGGGAGUAAAGUUAAU